AGAAAGAUGCCUGAUUAAAGGGUUAUUCUGAUAGAAUAAAUAAUGUAAAUUUUUAUACUCUUUCUA
rnacentral:tRNA from 1 species